UGGGGAAUUUUGGACAAUGGGCGAAAGCCUGAUCCAGCCAUGCCGCGUGAGUGUAGAAGGCCUUCGGGUUGUAAAGCUCUUUUAGUCGGAAAGAAAGAGUUGCAAUGAAUAAUUGUGAUUUAUGACGGUACCGACAGAAAAAGCACCGGCUAACUACGUGCCAGCAGCCGCGGUAAUACGUAGGGUGCGAGCGUUAAUCGGAAUUACUGGGCGUAAAGGGUGCGCAGGCGGUCUUGCAAGUCAGAUGUGAAAGCCCCGGGCUUAACCUGGGAAUUGCGUUUGAAACUACAAGACUAGAGUGCAGCAGAGGGGAGUGGAAUUCCAUGUGUAGCAGUGAAAUGCGUAGAGAUGUGGAAGAACACCGAUGGCGAAGGCAGCUCCCUGGGUUGACACUGACGCUCAUGCACGAAAGCGUGGGGAGCAAACA
rnacentral:rRNA from 1 species